AAGAAGAAGAAAACGAAAAGCGCAGUUUCAAGAAUGAUAAAAACAAAGAUUGCGCAAUGACGAGUUCAAAUUUUGUUCGUUGUUCGUUGUAUUGCAGGCAUACAAAAUCAUGAAUAUCAUCAAUAGUUAACAUCAAUAUAAAUAUAACCCAAAAGCUGGAUGCCAUUAAGAGCCGUCACACUGCAAUUUAAAAAUCCCUAACAAACAAAAUGCCAGAAAAGGCCGAGAUGCAGACGCAUGCCGCAUCAUAGCGGCAAAGACAAACAUUUCAAUUAGCCGCAUCACCGGUGACUUGGAGGAUGAGCAUUACGUGGAGCUCGAGUCGAAAUUGCCUAUGUCAUCGGAAGAGCACGGGUGCUUCGGGGACAAACAUUCACAAAUGAAAAUGGAUAUUAGUUUUAAGUUGUAAUUAUUAGUUUUAAGUUUGACAUAUUAGUUUUAAGUUGUAAAUAUUAGUUCUAAGUUGUAUAUAUUAGUUCUAAGUUGAAGUCUCUAAAUUUAGUUUUACAAAUAUGCUUUUUUAACUUUUAUACUGAAGUAAACUUAAUCUUAUGUUUAAGUAAAUAUGAUUUUAUUAUUAAACAAAGCGAA